GCACAGAGAAAACAAGAAACAUAAUGCAGAAAUGAAACUAAACAGAGCAUCUAGAGACAAGCAGAUUCAAUUACGACAAACUAUGGUCCUAGAGGCAGACUGGAGUAAGCGUAGCGUCGAUGGCCCAAGGGAAAGGUAUGAGCGGACAGAGACCCCUGUUGCUGCGAGCACCCGGAGAGAAAGGCGGCUCAAACCUUGAAGCAACGAGUAAAAAACCUACAGCUUCCGAGAAACCCAAUCAUCAAUACCUUCACCAAGAAACACAUCACGGAGCAACCAACUCAUUCAAAAUCGCCUCACCGAUAGCACGAAGGGGAGUCUACUGACAAGCGGUGCUGUCGUUCGAGACAGAGAACUGCAGAUUGCUGUCAACAACCCUCCAAUCCCGGGACUGUAUACACUCAUUUAACCCACCGCACACGCAGAGCAGUGGGACAUGUCGGGCACACCUCUUCCGGAAGAAGAGACCUUCGAACAAACAAGAAGCCCGAGUGCCAAACUAACUACUAACCACCUGCUAAAGACCGGUCUGCUUACACAGAAGCUACACCACCACAAGAUGACGAUUUAUUAUGGGAAAAGAGAGAGAGAGACUAACGCGCUGCCACAGUCAAGAACCCAACUCCAGAAGACAUAGACAGAUAAAGAGACGCGGAUGCUGUCCCGUGUCUCGUCACAUGCUGCCACAGAAACCUCCAAAACCCGGGCGACAACACUAAGAGAAGAAACUCCCCACACGUACCCAUGACUGAGAACCAGCCACAGGAUCUCACAGGAGCUAGGUGGAUCCAGAAGAGACCGAGAAACCGAGACUAAAUAUCCGGCCAAGAAGCACAAACCUCACCAAGGGAAUGCGAGACGCUGAAGAACCUCCGGAUAAUAGCCUCAUCUGGACUCCACGCGCCGUCACAGUCCUGGUCGAAAUCGAAGCUCCGAGAAAAUCUGGAGAAGAAUUCCAACGAUCUGAACAGACAGGUGAAGGAUAGAAGCCGGUUCAAGCCCUCUCCUCCCCACCGCCUUGGUACCGACAGAUCUACUGUAGGAUCUCCAGUGAAGAGAACGCCACCAACCACCCAUAAAGCCGACUCCGACGACAGUCCCUAGCUCCGAACGUCGCCGUUACACCAGAUCUGCCACCACGCUAGCCAAACCACCGGAUCUAUCGCGAAUAGAAGAGGGAUCUGAAGCGGCGAAUCAAACCCAGGGCUUCGACAAUACCGUAGAGAGGAGGAAGGAGUCAACAGAACAAAGAGAAGAUGGAACAAGAGAGCUCCCGACGAUGGCCAAAGGAACCACCGCCACCGGAGCUGGGAAGGGAGGCGGAUUAGGUUUUUUUUAGAGAGAGAAAUUGGAGGAGAGAGGUUUUUCUCGAAUAUUUGCAGCAUGAAAAGUUAGUACUGUAUAAAGUUAUUAGUUAAGAUUAUACGUUAAAC
rnacentral:lncRNA from 1 species